rnacentral:rRNA from 1 species
CGUGUAGGUCGGUUGGGUAAGUCAGAUGUGAAAGCCUUCUGCUUAACAGAAGAAGUGCAUUUGAAACUGCGUCGGCUAGAGUACGGGAGAGGAGAGUGGAAUUCCCGGUGUAGAGGUGAAAUUCGUAGAUAUCGGGAGGAACACCAGUGGCGAAGGCGGCUCUCUGGUCCGAUACUGACGCUGAGACGCGAAAGCGUGGGAGCAAACAGGAUUAGAUACCCUGGUAGUCCACGCCGUAAACGAUGGGCACUAGGUGUAGGAGGUAUUGACCCCUUCUGUGCCGAAGCUAACGCAUUAAGUGCCCCGCCUGGGGAGUACGGCGCAAGGCUAAA